rnacentral:misc_RNA from 1 species
GGUUUUAAAUUUUUUUUUUUUUUAGUAAGACUAGUUCAAUAAACAGAAAUUGAAAGGUUACAAGCUAAACUCAGUGACUAUACGUUAUUUAUAUAGGCUGAAAUUGAAAGAUUGCAAGCUGAGAUUUAUGACUUCAAGCUUCAACUAGAUGAAAUAUGUUAUUUGAGGGAUUCAUAUGAUGAUGUUGUCUAUUGUCCACCUGACUUAUUUUUUGCACAUCAAACCAUCAAGCAACUUUUACAAGUUAAGGAGAAAGCACUUGAACCAUGAAAGAAUGAGUAUAUAUUUCAACUAUGAGUUAGGAAGAGAGAACUUGAAGAAUGGAAGGAGUACGAAUUACUAAAACAAGAGUUGGACAUGAUAUCAAGAGCUCUUGACAAUAUA